UUUCUAUCCUAACAGUAGUUAUAUGCUUGUCUCAAAGAUUGAGCCAUGCAUUUCUAAGUACACACGAAUUAAAAGUGAAACCCUUAAAGGCUCAUUAUAUCAGUUAUGGUUCCUUAGAUCGUUAAUAGUUACUUGGAUAACUGUGGUAAUUCUAGAGCUAAUACAUGCAAUUAAAACAUGAACCUUAUGGGACAUGUGCUUUUAUUAGGCUAAAACCAAGCGAUCGCAAGAUCGUUAUAUUGGUUGAACUCUAGGUAACAUGCAGAUCGUAUGGUCUUGUACCGACGACAGAUCUUUUAAAUGUCUGCCCUAUCAACUUUUGAUGGUAGUAUCUAGGACUACCAUGGUUGCAACGGGAACCGGGGAAUCAGGGUUCGAUUCCGGAGAGGGAGCCUGAGAAACGGCUACCACAUCUAAGGAAGGCAGCAGGCGCGUAAAUUACCCACUCCCAGCUCGGGGAGGUAGUGACGAGA
rnacentral:ncRNA from 1 species